GAACGCACCUUGCGCCCUUUGGCUAUUCCGAAGGGCAUGCCUGUUUGAGUAUCAUGAACACCUCAACUCUCAUGGUUUGCCAUGAUGAGCUUGGACUUUGGGGGUCUUGCUGGCCUAUGGUCGGCUCCUCUCAAACGAAUCAGCUUACCAGUGUUUGGUGGCGUCACAGGUGUGAUAACUAUCUACGCUUGUGGCUUUCCAUCAGGUAACCUUCAGCAAUGGAGGUUCGCUGGAGCUUACAGAUGUCUUUCCUUGGGGAGGACAGCUUCUUGAAUGUCUGAUCUCAAAUCAGGUAGGACUACCCGCUGAACUUAAG
rnacentral:misc_RNA from 1 species